UUAAGGUUGUAAAUGGCUUCAGCAUCAGAGGAGUGGCUGUUGGAGAACAGCAACAUUAAGGAGAUGCGGAAUGGCCGCACCGCGCACAAUGUGUAAUCUUCGUCACUGCGGAUGAAAUCGGAUCGGGCGCUGCUUGCGGGUAUUCGGGUCGGGGUUUUAGGAGGUUUUUGGGUAAUUUGCAAGAGGUUUUGCUCGGGACCAAGCUUUUCAUUUUCCUCGUCGCUAUCCCUUUCGCCAUUGCCGCUAAUUACAGCCAUUUUGGAAGUGCAGAUUGCUCUCUACACAGGACCAACAGGUAAUCAUUUACUUAUUAUAUACUCCCUAUCAUUUUCAGAAAUCGAAUUGUAAAUGUGUGUGAUCGGUAUUAAUUAGCUGCAUCGGAGCUAUUCCGGUUAGCAAUGGCGGCCAUUUUGAUUGGAUCAGAUCUGCAUCUCAUCCGAUCUGUUAUUUUGUUUUUUAAAUUGUUUUUUAAUUUUUUUUAUUGCACAGUCAAUAAUUGUUGACCAUGUCAGCUGCCACGAGACGCCACGUCAAUUAAAAACGACACAUCAGCUCGCUCUUUCGUCGGAAAAAUCAUCAUGGGAAAUCAGCGACUAAUUGCAAAG